GUAACCGAUGACUCAGCCAAGCCAUGCAUUUCUCUCUCGCUCUCUCUCUCUCUCUCUCUCUGCUCUCUGCUUCUCUAUCUACAUUUUAUUCAUUCCUCUUUCCAUUUCUGGCUCUUUUCAUUUUCAGCCCUUCUGCCUUCCUCUGCAUCUCCUUUUUCAUUCCUUUUCUCGCUUUCUCCUGAUUCAUCCUUGACCCUUGGAGGUAUCUCAGUAUGUGUGUGAUGUGUGUCUGUGAGCAACACACUCAGCAAUGUGUGUGGGAAGAUAACUGGCUUCCUUCAGAGUGAUUAAAACAUUCCUCCUCUUGUCUUUUUCCUCUCUCCUCUCUCUUUCUCUGCCACUCUUAGUUUUUACUCAAGAUUUUCUGAUGAAGAGGAGGAUGAAGACACUCAAACUGGAGGGUUCUAUACAAAUUCAUGAUUUGGGAAGUCCUGGUUGAUCCUUCAGCACGAGCAGUUUCAGAUCUAAGCUGCUGAACUUUUGGACUGGUCUUCAUAACAGCCAUCUGUCCUGACAAACUGGUGUAGAGACCGUCUUAAUAAAUCUCACCAGAUGCUGCUGAGUCAGUGCGAGGCUAUGACAUCAUCAUCAUGAGACGGGGAGGCUGGUGAGCGGUGACCACAGGCAGUGACAGGAGAGGCGGUCCCUUUGUGUCGUGGUUUGCAGCUGCUGGUUCUUGGGAACGAAAAGUUUGUGCUUCAGUGGAUCAUUUGCCAGAAUAAGAGAAGAAAAAAAAAAAACAAGACGGUGAAAGGCAGUAGGUUAGAUUUUUAUUGUCACAGUGCCCUAAAUGAGCAGGAAACACCUGCAGGAGGUCAGAAACUGGUUGAGCUUCUUUGGCAUUACAAACUGUUUUCCAACUUUUCAGCUGAUUUAAAAUCUCAGCACACAUUGAAGUAAUCCAAAUGCUGCCAAAAGCACAGAAGAA